GAUGAACGCUGGCGGCGUGCCUAAUACAUGCAAGUCGAGCGAAUGGAUUGAGAGCUUGCUCUUAUGAAGUUAGCGGCGGACGGGUGAGUAACACGUGGGUAACCUGCCCAUAAGACUGGGAUAACUCCGGGAAAACGGGGCUAAUACCGGAUAACAUUUUGCACCGCAUGGUUCGAAAGUGAAAGGCGGCUUGGGCUGUCACUUAUGGAUGGACCCGCGUCGGAUUAGCUAGUGGGGGAGGUAACGGCUCACCAAGGCAACGAUGCGUAGCCGACCUGAGAGGGUGAUCGGCCACAGUGGGACUGAGACACGGCCCAGACUCCUACGGGAGGCAGCAGUAGGGAAUCUUCCGCAAUGGACGAAAGUCUGACGGAGCAACGCCGCGUGAGUGAUGAAGGCUUUCGGGUCGUAAAACUCUGUUGUUAGGGAAGAACAAGUGCUAGUUGAAUAAGCUGACACCUUGACGGUACCUAACCAGAAAGCCACGGCUAACUACGUACCAGCCGCCGCGGUAA
rnacentral:rRNA from 1 species